GAGGUUAUAGCUCAGUGGUAGAGUGUCUGUUAGCAUGCAGGAAGUCCUGGGUUCAAUCCCCAGCACCUCCA
rnacentral:tRNA from 1 species